rnacentral:rRNA from 1 species
GACUUAGGUAGGGUAGGAGGUUCCUAGAGGAGGGGAAGUUCCCACCACACUGUGACCUAGGACCAGACCAAGUUCUCUCCGGGAGGGCAGGCAGUUAGGAAUUUUGAACAAUAUGGCGACAAGCUGAUCAAGCCAUGCGCAGGUACAGGAGAAGGCAUUUAUGGAUGUUAAAUGCUUUUAUAGGAGAGAAAUCCUGGCCCGAAGCCAGAUUGACGGUACGGUAGGAAUAAGGAUCGGCUAACUCCGUGCAGCAGGCGCGGUAAUCCGAGGAUUCCAAGCCAUAUCGGGAUUCAUUGGGGUUUAAAGGGUCGGUAGGCGGUUUUAAUAAGUCAGUGGUGGAAUCCGGUAGCUCAACUAUCGAACGGCCAUUGAUACUGUAGAAACUUGAAUUAAUGUGAAGUAACUAGAAUAUGUAGUGUAGCGGUGAAAAUGCUUAGAUAUUACAUGGAAUACCAAAUUGCGAAGAGCAGGUUUACUAACAAUACAUUGACGCUGAUGGACGAAAGCGUGGGGAGCGAACAGGGAUUAGAUACCCUGGUAGUCCACGCCGUAAAACGAUGGAUACUAGCUGUUCGGUAGCAAUACUGAGUGGCUAAGCGAAAGUGAUAAAGUAUCCCACCUGGGGAGUACGAACGCAAGUUUGAAACUCAAAGGAAUUGACGGGGGCCCGCACAAGCGGUGGAGCAUGUGGUUUAAUUCGAUGAUACGCGAGGAACCUUACCAGGGCUUAAAUGUAGGUUGACAGACUUGGAAACAGGUUUUUCUUCGGACAACUUACAAGGUGCUGCAUGGUUGUCGUCAGCUCGUGCCGUGAGGUGUCAGGUUAAGUCCUAUAACGAGCGCAACCCCUGUCGUUAGUUGCCAGCGAGUCAUGUCGGGAACUCUAACAAGACUGCCGGUGCAAACCGUGAGGAAGGUGGGGAUGACGUCAAAUCAUCACGGCCCUUACGUCCUGGGCUACACACGUGCUACAAUGGCCGGUACAGAGAGCAGCCACUGGGCGACCAGGAGCGAAUCUACAAAACCGGUCACAGUUCGGAUUGGAGUCUGCAACCCGACUCCAUGAAGCUGGAAUCGCUAGUAAUCGCAGAUCAGCAACGCUGCGGUGAAUACGUUCCCGGGCCUUGUACACACCGCCCGUCAAGUCAUGAAGGUCGGUAACACCCGAAGCCGGUGGCCUAACCCUUGUGGAAGGAGCUGACGAAGGUGGGUAUUACCAGGUACAGU